rnacentral:lncRNA from 1 species
GCGACGGAGUUCACUGGCCACUCCAGGAUCCUGCCGCCCGAAGACAUGGCGGAACCUAAAAGAUCGGCUGAAAAAGAUCAAAGGUGCCGACGCUCUUUGUCCCUACUGUAUAGGCGGGAGCACAGAUUUUUGUAUAAGCGCAUAAACAGAUGCAUAAAGAAUUUGAUUGGUCCAUUUCCGUAUGUACAUGCUUAUAGACCAAUCGACUUUCUUAUGCAUUUGUUUAUGCGCUUAUGCAAAAGUCUGUACUCCUGCCUUAUAUCAGUAUACUGUGCUUAUAGCCUUGGGCGAUGAUUCGACGCGAAAGAUUUGCCCAGUAGGGCGUGUAAUAACGAACUAAAACAUUCAGGGUCGUGUAGACGACCAACAAGUCACACUCUCGACGACUGCAGAUAUCGACCGACACCACGUGGUGCGAAAAAAACACCGGGCACUGACAAGGCAAGCGCACUCGAUACACGCCGUGUGGCUGCUUGCAGGCGAAUCUGUCUGGCCACCCAGGUUCUAAAUCCGUUAUUGUUUCAUUAUAUAGACGCACGAAUUAGCUUACGAAAAACUUCGAUUCUAAGCUAACAAUAAGAUUUAAUAACAUGGACUUUGUUUGUGAGGGGAAUAAGAUAGUAUAAGAACAACAUAUUUAUUCAUCGUUAAACUCGUGUCUUAAAUAUGUUAUGUGAAUAAAAUUUUCAAAUAAAUCUACUUAUUAAAAAAAAUAGAACUUACCUUAGAUAAAAUUUCCAUCUCCAAAAUACGUUGUCUUCGAGUAUCUCGUUAAAACUCUUGCACGUGGUGCAAAAGUUUAAAACAUCUUGUAUAUCAAUACUGUUAUUACACAGAAUAAACUUUAUCACUUCUUCGGGAAGAUUUGAUAUCGUAGCCAUCGCGAAAAAAGCCAAGAAAAGCAAUAUGAGUAAAUAUAUUACGAUAUUUGCACGAAAUUCGUAUGUAUAACCGAAUGCUGGUUUAUAGUCUUUACCACUCAAGUACCGAAAAUCAAAUGAAAGAGCAAUGAGCAAUUUGUAAGGCAAGGGACUCCAGAAACUUCGCUGUAUGGUAGCUUGUGAUGGGUAUAGAGUAGGGAUAACUCUUACUAUUGCACAAUGCAAAGAAACAGGAACAGGAAAUAACCAAUCGCGUUACACGAUUUGAGUACGGAUGACCAAAUCGAGCAACACGAUUGGUUAUUCCCUGUUUCUGUUGCCUGUUCCUUUGCAUUGUGUAAUAGGCUUAACUGUCUUUCAAAACGAGUCAAAACAACGUUUAAACGCAGAAUAAGAUAUGUAUUUCACUUUACAUUAUCAAUACUUUAAUGUAACUGUUAAGUAGUGGGCGGAAAAUAUAACAAGGGACUUUAUGUUUAAGUUGGCAGCGCGUAAAGUUUUCGCGGUUAUUACGGAGGUUGGCCCCCUCUUUUUUAUAUGGUUAGAUUCGUUCGUUCGCUCUUGGCGGAAUCAUUACGUAAAAGUGUAUUUCUCAGUUUUAUAUAAUAAACGUAUUUCUCAGUAUUACAACUCUGCGUAUUCAAGCCUUAACAGUAACUUAUUAAUCUAAGCUCAAAAGUAAGUCCAAUACUGUUUUUGUUUCAAAUCAAAUAGAUACAAAAGGCUCAACAAAACCAUCAUAUCCGGUUUUACCCCAUGGCGGCACCAUGAUGUAAGAAGAAAGGUGGAGCGUUGCGCAUAAAGACGGAUUCACAAUAGAAGCCAGCCAAUGAAAUUUGGGUCCAAAUGCUUCAAACCAAUAUGGCGGCAACGCGAAUAUAACCACUGAGAAAUAAUACUGGAGGAGGCACCACAGAUAUCUAUAUAUACACUAGACUGCUAACUCCGGCAAAAUACAUGGCUCUGAAAAAUCACACAUACACACACAUAUAUAUAGAUAGAUAUAUGUGUAUAUGUGUAUAUAUAUAGAUGCUGUGCAUCCGAUACGAAUAGGUUGACGAUGCAUGUCCGUGAGAGACAAAUUUAAAACAAAAAAUAUGCCAGGAUAUACAUACCACAAACACCUAUAUAAAUCUAUGUAUGCAUCAGUACACGUAAUUUAUUCUAUACAUUCGAAUAAAAAUAUUUGUAAAUAA